CGCCCCGGGGCCCCUCUUUGUCACCAACUGGACGCAGCCGAGGGAGCUCUGGACGAGCCGGGGCCGCGCGGCUUGUCGGGCGAGAGCGAUUCAAGCUGGAAUCUCCGUUUCGGACUUCUCUUGUGACUUCGAACAUGGACCAUCUCAACCUGCGACCUCGGAUGGAGCGCGCAGGCGAGGACCGCGCCCCGCCAAUCACGGGCGUUCGACCGGGAGCCGGGGCUUCCUCAGUCUCUGACUGAAGACUUUGGGUGGUGGGCGGAGGCGGAGGUGCAGACACACUCCAGGCUACGAUUUGCCCCUUCCUCUUCUAAAACUGCUGGAAGGAUUGUCUCUAGCUCACACCACUGGCCAUCUUUUGCUGAUACUGCAGCUGAUAGAACCCAGGAAGACUCUGGGCAAUGCCCACUCUCUGUGCCUCGACCUCACUGUCAAAUCUCAGUCCAGACCUGGCCAGCCUUGGUGUCAAGUCCAGGGUUCCGCAGACACAAAGCCUUUCCUCCAGUAUGACAGUGACAGCUGCAAGGUCAGACCUUUGGGUUUCCUGGGGGAGGAGGUAAAUGACACCAAAGCGUGGACUGAAUUGAGCCAGACGCUGGGAGAAGCAGGAAGAGGGCUCAGGAUGGUCCUGCCUGUCAUCAAACUGGACAAAAAGGAGAUGAGGGGUCCUCCCUCCCUGCAGGUCAGGCUGUGUUGUCAGCGUGAAGCCGAGCAAUGCUCUGGUGCAUCCUUGCUCUUCAGCCUCAAUGGACGGACAGCCCUCCUCCUUGACACCAUGAGCAUAACCUGGACAGGCAUCGAUCCUGGAGCCACAGGCCUCAAGGAGGAGUGGGAGAACAACCAGGAACUGGCAGAGUAUUUCAGGAAUAUCUCAAUGGGAGACUGCAGUUAUUGGCUUAGGGAAUUCCUGGAACACUGGGAGAACAUGCUGCUCCCAGAGCCCACAGAACCACUAAUAAUGGCCCCAGAUAUCAGCCAGUCUGCAUUCAUCCAAUUGGUCACUUGCAUUAUUCUACUCAUCAUCACCCAGUUAGUUCUAAUUGCUUCAUCGUCAUGAAUCUUAUGAAGAAAUCAGGGACCACAGCAGGAGAAAGAAAUGUGGACAUGCACAGAAGACAUGGAUAGAGGGAGACAAGACCCACGGGAAGAGUGUCAUGGAAGGACAGAAAUAGACACGAGCUCUGCAACGCCAGGGGUUUCCGGGAACCACAGAGCUGUCCACGGUCCCUCGGUCGUGUCCGCCUCUUUGCGGCCCCAUGGACUGCAGCCCACCAGGCUCCUCUGUCCAUGGGAUUCUUCAGGCAAGAAUACUGGGGUGGGUUGCCAUUUCCUUCUCCAUGCAACCACCAGUAGUCAGGAAGAGACAAGAUGGAGCCUCCCUUAGAGCCUUCAGAGAGGGCCCUACUGACACCUUGAUUUCGGACUUCUAACCA